rnacentral:rRNA from 1 species
AUUGAACGCUGGCGGCAGGCCUAACACAUGCAAGUCGAACGAGUGGCGGACGGGUGAGUAAUGUCUGGGAACCUGCCUGAUGGAGGGGGAUAACUACUGGAACCGGUAGCUAAUACUGCUUACCACCGGAUGGGCUCAGAUGGGAUUAGCUAGUAGGUGGGGUAAAGGCUCACCUAGGCGACGAUCCCUAGCUGGUCCGAGAGGAUGACCGGCCACACUGGAACUGAGACACGGUCCAGACUCCUACGGGAGGCAGCAGUGGGGAAUAUUGGACAAUGGGCGAAAGCCUGAUGGAGCCAUGCCGCGUGUGUGAAGAAGGCCUUCGGGUUGUAAAGCUCUUUCAUCAGGGAGGCGUUACCCACCGAAGAAGCAACGGCUAACUCCGUGCCAGCAGCCGCGGUAAUUC